UACGGGGGGGGCAAGCGUUGUUCGGAAUUACUGGGCGUAAAGGGCUCGUAGGCGGCCAACUAAGUCAGACGUGAAAUCCCUCGGCUUAACCGGGGAACUGCGUCUGAUACUGGAUGGCUUGAGAUUGGGAGAGAGAUGCGGAAUUCCAGGUGUAGCGGUGAAAUGCGUAGAUAUCUGGAGGAACACCGGUGGCGAAGGCGGCAUCCUGGGCCAACACUGACGCUGAGGAGCGAAAGCCAGGGGAGCAAACAGG
rnacentral:rRNA from 1 species